rnacentral:rRNA from 1 species
UGGGGAAUAUUGCACAAUGGGCGCAAGCCUGAUGCAGCCAUGCCGCGUGUAUGAAGAAGGCCUUCGGGUGGUAAAGUACUUUCAGCGGGGAGGAAGGGAGUAAAGUUAAUACCUUUGCUCAUUGACGUUACCCGCAGAAGAAGCACCGGCUAACUCCGUGCCAGCAGCCGCGGUAAUACGGAGGGUGCAAGCGUUAAUCGGAAUUACUGGGCGUAAAGCGCACGCAGGCGGUUUGUUAAGUCAGAUGUGAAAUCCCCGGGCUCAACCUGGGAACUGCAUCUGAUACUGGCAAGCUGGAGUCUCGUAGAGGGGGGUAGAAUUCCAGGUGUAGCGGUGAAAUGCGUAGAGCUCUGGAGGAAUACCGGUGGCGAAGGCGGCCCCCUGGACAAAGACUGACGCUCAGGUGCGACAGCGUGGGGAGCAAACAGG